rnacentral:rRNA from 1 species
UACGAAGGGGGCUAGCGUUGUUCGGAUUUACUGGGCGUAAAGCGCACGUAGGCGGUUUGUUAAGUCAGAGGUGAAAUCCCGGAGCUCAACUCCGGAACUGCCUUUGAUACUGGCAAGCUAGAGUCCGGAAGAGGUAAGUGGAACUCCUAGUGUAGAGGUGGAAUUCGUAGAUAUUAGGAAGAACACCAGUGGCGAAGGCGGCUUACUGGUCCGGAACUGACGCUGAGGUGCGAAAGCGUGGGGGAGCAAACAGG